rnacentral:lncRNA from 1 species
GAAUUCAUUCUGGAUUCUAGGAACAUGUCGGAAUUCUGUCUGUGUGAACCUCUUUCUCAAUUCCUGCACGUGAUGUAAAUACGAUAGUAUCUUGGAGUUCUUUGUUGUACAUUCUUCUCGGACCUGAUGUAUGAGUAGUUCUAAACCCCCAAUCACUAGCAACUCUUGUAUGUUCAGUCAAUAGCCAUCUUGAGCCCUAAGAUGCAGGCUUCAUACUCGGCCAUAUUGUCUGUGCACGGGAACCUGAGUUUGGUAAACACCGGAUAAUGUUGACCGGUUUCUGAUACUAGAA